CAAUAGCGUAUAUUUAAGUUGUUGCAGUUAAAAAGCUCGUAGUUGGAUUUCGGGUUGGCUUCAGCGGUCUCGCUCUGCGUUUGUACUGCCGCAGCCUUCCUUCUUGCUGGGGACGGUCCUCCGGGCUUCAUUGCUUGGGGUCUGGAAUCAGCGACGUUACUUUGAGUAAAUUAGAGUGUUCAAAGCAAGCCUACGCUCUGAAUAUAAUAGCAUGGGAUAACACGACAGGACUCUGGCCUAUCGUGUUGGUCUGUAGGACCAGAGUAAUGAUUAAGAGGGACAGUCGGGGGCAUUCGUAUUCCGUUGUCAGAGGUGAAAUUCUUGGAUUUACGGAAGACGAACAUCUGCGAAAGCAUUUGCCAAGGAUGUUUUCAUUGA
rnacentral:rRNA from 1 species